UUGUCUUGCGGACGGAUUAGCA
rnacentral:siRNA from 1 species